GGGGGGGGCAAGCGUUGUUCGGAAUUACUGGGCGUAAAGGGCGCGUAGGCGGCCUGCUAAGUCACACGUGAAAUCCCCCGGCUCAACCGGGGAACUGCGUGUGAUACUGGCGGGCUCGAAUUCGGGAGAGGGAUGUGGAAUUCCAGGUGUAGCGGUGAAAUGCGUAGAUAUCUGGAGGAACACCGGUGGCGAAGGCGGCAUCCUGGACCGAGAUUGACGCUGAUGCGCGAAAGCUAGGGUAGCAAACGGGAUUAGAUACCCCGGUAGUCCUAGCCCUAAACGAUGAGUGCUUGGUGUGGCGGGUAUCGAUCCCUGCCGUGCCGAAGCUAACGCAUUAAGCACUCCGCCUGGGGAGUACGGUCGCAAGGCUGAA
rnacentral:rRNA from 1 species